GCCGCCGUGGCGGAAUAGGCAGACGCAGCGGACUUAAAAUCCGCCGAUCAUUGCGAUCGUACCGGUUCAAGUCCGGUCGGCGGCA
rnacentral:tRNA from 1 species